AAAACCUAAAUAUAACAGAUAAAAAUGAAAUUUAUAACAUAUUAAUAGUUAUUUAGUAUAGAUUAUUUUGCAAUGUACCUUGGGUCGCCCGGACUCUCGCGGGUCAUCUUAGCCAUCUAUAGCUGGAACCUGGAGAGAUCCUUGAACCCAAGGUCUUGUUCUACUUCUAUGGGCCUAGGUGGUACAACUUCCCCCAAUGCAAAUCUCACUAAACAACAAAUACCUCCCAUAAUUUGAACUGAAAAGAUUCCCGCCGAAGUCACCGUACAGAACAAGGGCUUACUAAUUCCCAUUUUUUAACACCUAAUCCAUCAACCAUGGACCCUGAUGCAGGAUAAAGUAGUAAAGGUAGAGGACCCACAAAUCUAAUAUCAAAAGCACAAGCAAAACAACCCAACUGAAAACCAAAGAUAUGCUAAAAUGACUGCACUAUUGGGUUAAAUUUAUUAUAAUGGAAAAAGGGAUGACAAAGGGCUCCAAAUGAGAACUAAAUGAAACGCAUAAUCAACAAAACUUUUCAAGAGACCUAUAAUUGACUUUAUGAAGAAAAGCAUGACAUUUGCAACUGUUAGUUCUAUUGGACUCACUAUUAAGCGUUCAUUUCCUAAACCACUGCCCUUCUUUCACUAGAAAUUUGUAUUAUUAAUUUGUUUUUCCACUGUUCCAAUAGUCCUACUAGUCAAAAUGCCAAGAAAUUACUCAUUAGAGAACACCCCAAUCACAGUGAGAUGUCCUACCCUCCCAAAAGAGAGAAAACCGAAUUAGGCAAACAAAUGCCUACAUUGGCAUUAACCAACCUGCAACAAUGAAAUUUAACUAUGACUAAACCAUGGUCCCACUGCACCAUUCACAUGUCCAUUGCCGUGGAUUCCCACACCAUUUGGGAUCAGUGAAGGAGGUAAUCCAACAGCCAUUGGAGGUGGCGCAGCAGGGUACAACCCAUGAUUGUGAGGUACAGCGUGGGGGCUCACAAGAGGACUGGCAGCAGGACUUCCCUUGCGUUGUUGGAGGGCAUGGAUCUGCCUGAGUCCUUCCUCAUGAAUACGUGAUAUUGUCUCCAACUCCUUCAUUGACAGAGCUUCCAACCCAGCGCCAUAAAGAGGAGCAUGUCGUGACAUUUCUUCUUGAAGUGAAGCCUCAAGUGUGCGAAUGUAUUGCUGGCAGGCCUGCAAUUUUGAUUCCAUCCCAUCAAUAUAUGCUUCACACCGAGCAACCUGUUCUUCUUUUUCCCUCUUUUCUCCUUCUGUUUGUCCAACUGUUUGAGUCAAUCUCCGAACUUCAUCCUCCAAUGACUGACGGAUUUCCUCCCUGGUCACAUUCUCUGUGGCAUACCGCUUCAACUCUUCAUCAAAUCUUUUCCACGCAGCUUCAGCACUCUUUAACCUUUCGGCAAGAGUAUUUUUCUCCUUUACCACUCUCUUCAAUUCAUCCCGUUUCCGGGACUUCAACUGAGAGAGCUGUGUUUCAGCAUCAUGAAGACGAUCCUGAAGAACUUUCUUCUCAGCUGUAAGUUUGGUAAUUUCUUCAUCCCGCUCUGAGCGUAUCCAAUCAAGCUGACUUUCUACUUCUUGUAUUCGUUCAGAAAGUUCCUUCUUUUCCCGAGCAAAGCGAUCCAUCUCAGCCCUCAUUUCAGACUUGAGUCGAUUGUUAAUGGACUCUGAUUCACUCAAUUUUUGUGAUAGAAUAGUUUUUUCCCGAACAAUAUUAGAAAUUUCUGUCUUCCUCUCUUCACGCGUGCGAAUAAUUUCAUCCUCACUGGCACAUAACUGAUGCCAAAGAGCUGCCCGAUCAACAUUUGCAAGUUCAGCACCCUCCCGCAUCAUGCUUAGAACAGGUUUAACAAUUUCUUGCUCCUCACAAACUAAAAAAACCAAUAUAUCCAAGUCGAAAUCUACAUCACGACUAUUAUCUGUAGUACUGGUGGCACGAUCAACAAGUCUCUUUAGCAUCCUCACUCUGUAUGACUCAUCAGCAUACCAUUUAAACAAUAAUGUGUAAAGCAUCUUCACAAAUCCCUUCACUCUGGGGUCCCUUGAAAGGGCCAACGUCUCAGCAAGGCCAAGAACAACAUUAAAAUCAUCCCUUUGGAUUCUCAGAUGUUCACUGGCUUCUCCCUCUAUUACAACAUCUGCAUGCUGAAAAUUUUCAGCAACAAAUCUGGCAUUGUAAUUCAAUCUCUGAGUGAGGCGCCUUUCCAAAACCAUUGCCACAGAUUGUGCCAUAAUUGCCCCCCGAGCUACAGCUCUCUCAAAUGUUUGAGAAGCUUCAACAGCAAGACAAGGUAUAGAUAACAUCUCAAUCAAGACAUAAAUGUCAGCAAAAUGGCAACUAGCAUGGAAAGGCUGCUCAUCCACCACAUGAAACCUUUCAGGAAUGGAUCCAUUUUCACCAAACAAGAAAAGACCGCAAGGCAAUGCUGAGCUGUCAUCCCCAAAGUCAUCAUCACAUUCAAUAUCUCUAAGUAUGGUUUCAGCAACAUCUCCCCAACUAUUUACAGUUUUACUCAAAAAAUCCAAGACACAGGGACGCACCUCAGCACCCAAUUUUUUUAACCUAACACGAACAGACCUGACAGCUUCAGGAAGAUGUUGGCACUGGGAUGCAGCUUUAAAUAUAAAAUCUAUGGUUGCAGCAAGAGGCUCAUCAUUUGAAUCAGCUAAAAGCUCAAAAGAUUGAAAUAAAAUGCGUUCCCACACAUCACUACCACAUUCCAGUUGACUAAGAGCACCAAAAACCUGUUAAAAAAAAUUAUCAUAAUCUUGCAAUAAAAAGUGUUGUGAUAGACAAAAUGAGAAAAAUAUUUGUGCAUACUAUCAUCAAAAUCAAAAUAGAUGGUGCAAAAUAUGCCUUAUUAGUAUUUAGUGGCUUUUUCCAUGUUUCACUGCCAACACACCACAAAGAAGCAAAUUGACCAUAGAAAACAGAAAGCCAAAACACUUCUUGAAAGAAUAUCUUACAGGUAUCCGCAAAGCAGGUUCUGCAUCAGGCUUUUGAAGUCUUUCAAGAAGUGCGCAAGCUGCCAGUGGAUGCUCUGAAUGCUCUACCAACUUGGGGACUAAAGCUACAAGGUCAGGCUGCAAAUGUUUUGGAGCUUUAUCCAAUACAAGAGCAAUCUUUUGUGCAGAUUGAGGUCUUCGUCUUGGCUCAGGACAGCAUUGUGGAACGGCUCCAUCAAGGGCUCUCAGUGAGUUUACAAUCAAUCCUAAGAGCUCCUCAGAUUGUUCUGGCCACUUGGUCUUAGAGCAAAGGGAAGCAUUUUCCAAAGAUGCUCCAGCUGUUGUUACUGGUGGAUAAAUAGGCUGUCCAGGAAGAGCUUUUCCAGGCAUAUCAAUACCAUUUCCAUCAGAGCUUUGCACAGCAGAUGCACUGGUAGUAUCAUCUACACCAGACUCCAAUCUCUCAUAUACAGGAAAUGGAGCAGAUUCUGUUGCUCCACUUUCCCUAUCAGAUUCCAAUGGACUGGCAGAACCACUGCCAUCAACUGAAGGCUUUGAGUUCACAUCAGACAAAUAAUCAUUGGAACUUCCUUCUGAUGGUUGACAACAUUCAACCAUUAUGUCCAAAAGUAAAUCUAUAAUUGCUUGCUGCAAAACUUUAACUCCCAUCAACAGAUUCAUCAGGCUGGGAGAAGAUUCAUCAGCUUUUGCUGCCUUCUUUCCAUCAUUGGUACUAGAAAGCUUGGUUGGAAGAAGCAAACGCUUUACUUUCGCAGGAUCAUCUAGAUAGACACGUAAUCCAGUCAAAAAACCAGCAAUUGCACCAGCAUCCAUUAGAAGCUUUUCCCUUAAGGUAACCUGUGGCUGUGAAGGAUUAUCUCCAUAUGUCAAGUGAAAGCCAGCUCUAGAAAGAAGGUUUCUAAAGAUAUCUUCUUCAUCUCCGCUUACUCCUUCACUGUCUUCGGAAUCAAUGAGUUCAUCAGGAUCAGUUGUUAAUGCAUCCUGAUCAUCCUCAGAGGCCAAAACCUCUAGAUCUGAAAACUCAAACCAAGGACAGCAAUCCAAUAUUUCACAAACAAAAACAACAGUGUCACGCACAAGGAACCCUGCAUCUCCUUCCAACAUAUCGGACACCUUCAUAAAUUGCAGAACAGAAUUAUUCCAUGUCUUUGUACAAAUAGAAGACUCCUUCCACACAGUCUUGGCUGGAUUCUUUUGGUUCACCACAGCCAUCCUAUAUCUGACCCAAAAAUUUUUAUCUAGAUCACUACCAACUGACUGGUCACUCUCUAAAUAUAUACAUAUGGUGUCGAAAGAUUCAUAGACACCAAUCCGAAGCUCACAUCCACCAGCUUGAAAGAACUUGCUGAAGAUUUUUCGGGUUUCCAUUAUUUCCUUGAAAGACAAGAAGUUUUCCACCUUCCACGUGAAUGAACUUUUUUUCCCAACCCCAUCAAUCUGGGAACCAGUAACAAUUGCCUCAAUAUCUUGAUCUGUUAAAUCCUGCAUUAUUGAUGUCUCUUUCAAAAUGAGAACCUCUGCAGAGAAUACAACAGUAUCCUGAACAAGAAACCCAGAAUCUUGAUCAAAAAGGCUAGUAAGAGUCACGAAUUCACGCCAACCCCAAUCUUUUGCAGCUUUGGAAUAACGAUUCUGAGAUUCUUUGGUUACAGAUUUCUCCUCCAUCCUCUGGUUCAAAACUGACAAACGAUGGCUCACAAAACAACUCCAAUCACUGGAAGUAUUCCGUGAAUCUGUAACUUCAAGAAACACUGAAAGGUGACAUGGUGGCUGAGACUGCCCUCGGGGAUAAACAAUGAGACGACAAUCUCUAUUCCCAAUCUGAAACCUCCUGCUCUUGAUGCAAAGACCUGUAAUCUUCCUCUUCUUCAAUAGAUCCUUCAACCUUGUAAAAUUCUCAAUCCUCCAAGUAAAUUUCCCCAUGUGCCCAUCAGACUUCCUUGCCCCACUCCCGCUCCUCCCUCCAAUUAACCCCCCAUUCUUCGAGAAGCUACUGAACUCCUUAAUUACAUGAAAUGAAGUACUGAAUACUGCAGUAUCAUCCACCAAAAAUCCUGAGUCAGGCCCAACAAAAUCAGACAUUUUCAUAUAAUCAUUCCAGCCCAAACUUGUAUUAUCCCCAGUCUUAUUAUCUGCAGCAAACCGCCCAUACGAGUCUCUAUGCAUAUGAUUGGACCCUGGUUUUUGGUUCAAGACCGACAUUCUAAACAAACACCAACAACUCCUAUCAGACACAACUGUCUUCUCCGUGUCCUUACUCUCCAAACACAUGGACAAAUAAUCUUGCCCAUUAACUGAGCUCUGGUACACACUGAUUCUCAGAUUACACUCGCCGGCUGGAAACACCGGGCUCAUUAUCUUCUGUGUCUUAAUCAUUUCCUUAAACAAACUAAAAUUAUGCACUUUCCAAGUAAAUUUACCGCUUAACACAUCAGAUACAGGACCCGCAACCACCGACGAUGAUAUUAUUGAGGAAGAAACAGAUUGCAAGUCAUUAUUAUCGCGCAUAAAACUAAGGGAUUCAUUAAGGAUUAAAAUGUCGGCGGUUAUAAGAACGGAAUCAUUGUUGAACAAAUAACCUAAUUUGGAAUCAAACACAGUAGACGAAGGGGUGAAAUCACACCAACCGUGAGAUUUUUUCUUGCUGGAGAAUCGGUGCCACGAAUCCCGAUGAAUCGUUUUAGAAUCGUCGGUUAGGUUGACGAUAGCUAAACGGUAGCUGGCGAAGCAGUCCCAUUUGGAAGAAGCGGUGCCCCGAGGGUCCAUGAUUUGGAGAUAGAUAGAGAUGUAUCCUGGCAAAGCUUGUGAGUCUCCUUUAGGGUAAAUUAACAGGCGACAAUCAUAGCCGCCAACCUCAAAGUACUUGCUCCAAAUUGCCCUAGCUUUAAUACGAGGGAAGUUGUGAACCGUCCAUCGGCAAACGGCGGAAUACUCUCCUCGACGAUCGACGGUCACGGUUUCCUGCGCCCAACCGCUCCCAUCCCUCGUGGACCCCACGGCCAAGUCCUCCGCCGGGAUUGACGACGACGCCGACGACGACGAUGAAGUGGCGGGGGGUAACUGGUCGGUAAGAGCGGACGCCGUCGUCGCCACCGCCGUGGCGGAGGAAGUUUGUGGUGGUGAGGAUGGGACCGCCUCCGAUAAAGUGUGCUUCAUUGCUUGGUUCGUUGGGGUUUUCUUUCCCUCCGCUUCUGUUUCGAUCAAAUAUAAAAAGAAUAAGAAGAAGACAGAGGUUGAUAUGUGGCUAGAGAGGGCAGAGGACUACAGGAGGAGGCUUUGGACAACCAGCGCGCAUUCUAGUUAACCUGCGCUUCUUUUUCCCUUAUUAGUUUUUUU
rnacentral:misc_RNA from 1 species